rnacentral:tRNA from 1 species
ACUAUUUUGGCAGAUAAGUGUGGUUGAUUUAGAAUCUUUUUAUGUAGAUUAAUUUUCUAUGAAUAGUA